GCCUAUCUAGUAUAACUAAGUACAGCUGACUUCCAAUCAGCCAGCCUGAACUCCCUCAGGAUAGACA
rnacentral:tRNA from 1 species